AUUGAACGCUAGCGGGAUGCCUAACACAUGCAAGUCGAACGGAGUGGCGGACGGGUGAGCAAUAUAUCGGAACGUGCGUAGUAGCGGGGGAUAAGUACUAGAAAGAGUGGCUACUACCGCAUACUUUUGGAGCGGCCGAUGUCGGAUUAGCUAGUUGGGGGGGUAAAGGCUCACCAAGGCAAAGAUCCGUAGCUGGUUUGAGAGGACGACCAGCCACACUGGGACUGAGACACGGCCCAGACUCCUACGGGAGGCAGCAGUGGGGAAUUUUGGACAAUGGGCGAAAGCCUGAUCCAGCCAUCCCGCGUGUAUGAAGAAGGCCUUCGGGUUGUAAAGUACUUUUGGCAGAGAAGCGGUAUCUGCAGAAUAAGCACCGGCUAACUACGUGCCAGUAGCCGCGGUAAUAC
rnacentral:rRNA from 1 species